UACGUAGGGUGCAAGCGUUGUCCGGAAUUAUUGGGCGUAAAGAGCGUGUAGGCGGCCCGACCAGUCCGCUGUGAAAGUCCAGGGCUCAACCCUGGAAUGCCGGUGGAUACUGUCGGGCUAGAGUCCGGAAGGGGCGAGUGGAAUUCCUGGUGUAGCGGUGAAAUGCGCAGAUAUCAGGGGGAACACCAAUGGCGAAGGCAGCUCGCUGGGACGUGACUGACGCUGAGACGCGAAAGCGUGGGGAGCAAACAGG
rnacentral:rRNA from 1 species